rnacentral:lncRNA from 1 species
CCCUAUCCAAAAGGAAACGGCUAAGCAAUCCUCAUCUUUCCCUCAUCUUUCCCACAAACGAGUCGGCCAAGCGAACAAAGAGGGAAGCUAAGCAAGCAAGAACUGAAGCAGCCAAAUUGAGAUAAGAGGCGGAGGAGGAAGGAGCCGCUCUGGACAAGAUGAUGUCGUUGCCGGCCUCCACCCACCUGCUCCCCUCGGCCGCCGCGGUAUCCCUCCUCCCUCGCCGCGUCUCCCUUCAGCUCUCCUACGCCACUGGGUGGAGGGCAGGAAGCCGCCGCCCGGCGGUGGUGCGCGCGGCCACGGCGGAGGCGGCGGCGCCCGCCUACACGUCCGACUCCCUCAUCCUCUACUUCAAGGCGGAGGGCACCAUGGAAGAGAGGGCUAUUCCCAAGAUCACCGAAUCACUCGAGG